AACGGUCUAUACCUGCGGUACCUGCGGAAGGAUCAUUACAGAGUGUGACCCCCUGUAAAAAGGGGGGUACCUCCCGUCCUUUGCAGGCCCUUUAGGGUCUUUUACACUUUGCUUCGGUGGGGUAACCCACCGGAACACCCUCAAAAAUUCUGAUUUUAAAAUUGUUCAGUCUGAGAAUUUUGAAAAUAAAAUAAAAACUUUUAACAACGGAUCUCU
rnacentral:misc_RNA from 1 species